rnacentral:tRNA from 1 species
AUUUAAGUAGUUAAAAAAUAAUAAAAGUUUGUGGUACUUUAGAUGAAUAUUAGUUUCCUUAAAUU